AUAGGUCUUCAUCGGGAAUCGGUGCAGAGAGGUUUCUGAUUAGCUGACAAAAAAAUAGCGGACGCAACUUACCUCCCAAACACCGAUGCGGAAGCUUACAUGAAGAACAGUCUCAUACAUCGCACCAACGUGGGUUUUGUCGUGCUGGAAGAAAAGCAACGAUCGCGUGAAACGGAUCCCACAAAGGAGCGUGGCAAUUUUACGGCGCUCGUCGAUGAUUGAGCGGGCAUAGUGGCUUUGUUUUUGUUUGGCCUCAGAAAGAAGUAAAAAUGUCUAAUACGACUUUUAUGAUUGGCGGCCAAUCGGUGAUUGGACGAGGAACUCCAAGCAAGCCGUGUAGGCAGGGGAAGCAAGAACAGACCUUCGAUGCUGGCCAAAUUAGAACCUGAUAAUGUUUUAAAACACUCCAUCUAUCCUCCACGCAAUCAAGUAUUAUCAUUAGAUAAUGGGUUUCUUCAUUGGUUCACCUUGCCGAUCAAACAGGUUACAGAAAUGAUCAUCAGCAACCGUUACAGCGUUCUCUAAGUUUGCAGA